rnacentral:siRNA from 1 species
GGGGGUGUAGCUCAUAUGGU